rnacentral:rRNA from 1 species
GACGAACGCUGGCGGCGUGCUUAACACAUGCAAGUCGAACGGAAAGGCCCUGCUUUUGUGGGGUGCUCGAGUGGCGAACGGGUGAGUAACACGUGAGUAACCUGCCCUUGACUUUGGGAUAACUUCAGGAAACUGGGGCUAAUACCGGAUAGGAGCUCCUGCUGCAUGGUGGGGGUUGGAAAGUUUCGGCGGUUGGGGAUGGACUCGCGGCUUAUCAGCUUGUUGGUGGGGUAGUGGCUUACCAAGGCUUUGACGGGUAGCCGGCCUGAGAGGGUGACCGGCCACAUUGGGACUGAGAUACGGCCCAGACUCCUACGGGAGGCAGCAGUGGGGAAUAUUGCACAAUGGGCGGAAGCCGGAUGCAGCAACGCCGCGUGCGGGAGGACGGCCUUCGGGUUGUAAACCGCUUUCGCCUGUGACGAAGCGUGAGUGACGGUAAUGGGUAAAGAAGCACCGGCUAACUACGU